rnacentral:rRNA from 1 species
AGAGUUUGAUCAUGGCUCAGAGCGAACGCUGGCGGCAGGCUUAACACAUGCAAGUCGAACGGGCCCUUCGGGGUCAGUGGCAGACGGGUGAGUAACACGUGGGAACGUGCCCUUCGGUUCGGAACAACUCAGGGAAACUUGAGCUAAUACCGGAUACGCCCUUCGGGGGAAAGAUUUAUCGCUGAAGGAUCGGCCCGCGUCUGAUUAGCUAGUUGGUGAGGUAACGGCUCACCAAGGCGACGAUCAGUAGCUGGUCUGAGAGGAUGAUCAGCCACACUGGGACUGAGACACGGCCCAGACUCCUACGGGAGGCAGCAGUGGGGAAUAUUGGACAAUGGGCGCAAGCCUGAUCCAGCCAUGCCGCGUGAGUGAUGAAGGCCUUAGGGUUGUAAAGCUCUUUCGUCCGGGACGAUAAUGACGGUACCGGAAGAAGAAGCCCCGGCUAACUUCGUGCCAGCAGCCGCGGUAAUACGAAGGGGGCUAGCGUUGCUCGGAAUCACUGGGCGUAAAGGGCGCGUAGGCGGCCAUUCAAGUCGGAGGUGAAAGCCCAAGGCUCAACCUUGGAAUUGCCUUUGAUACUGUUUGGCUUGAGACCGGAAGAGGUAAGUGGAACUGCGAGUGUAGAGGUGAAAUUCGUAGAUAUUCGCAAGAACACCAGUGGCGAAGGCGGCUUACUGGUCCGGUUCUGACGCUGAGGCGCGAAAGCGUGGGGAGCAAACAGGAUUAGAUACCCUAGUAGUCC